rnacentral:rRNA from 1 species
AUUGAACGCUGGCGGCAUGCCUUACACAUGCAAGUCGAACGGUAACGGGCCUUCGGGUGCCGACGAGUGGCGAACGGGUGAGUAAUGCAUCGGAACGUACCUUUCAGUGGGGGAUAACGUAGCGAAAGUUACGCUAAUACCGCAUAUUCUGUGAGCAGGAAAGCAGGGGAUCGCAAGACCUUGCGCUGAUUGAGCGGCCGAUGUCAGAUUAGCUAGUUGGUGAGGUAAAGGCUCACCAAGGCGACGAUCCGUAGCGGGUCUGAGAGGAUGAUCCGCCACACUGGGACUGAGACACGGCCCAGACUCCUACGGGAGGCAGCAGUGGGGAAUUUUGGACAAUGGGCGCAAGCCUGAUCCAGCCAUGCCGCGUGAGUGAAGAAGGCCUUCGGUUGUAAGCUCUUUCGGUACGGAAGAAAUACGUGCAGGCUAAUACCCUUGCGGAGUGACGUACGGUCCAUAAGAAGCACCGGCUAACUACGUGCC